UACGUAGGUGGCGAGCGUUGUCCGGAAUUACUGGGUGUAAAGGGCGUGUAGGCGGGGACAUAAGUCAGAUGUGAAAUACCGAGCUUAACUUCGGGGCUGCAUCUGAAACUAUGUUUCUUGAGUGUCGGAGAGGAAAGUGGAAUUCCCAGUGUAGCGGUGAAAUGCGUAGAUAUUGGGAGGAACACCAGUGGCGAAGGCGACUUUCUGGACGAUAACUGACGCUGAGGCGCGAAAGCGAUGGGGAG
rnacentral:rRNA from 1 species